UUCCCAACCCAGGGAUUGAACCUGCAUCUCCUGCUUGGCAGGUGGAUUCUUCACCACUGAGCCGCCUGGGA
rnacentral:tRNA from 1 species